GGUUAAUGACAAAGUACCCAUAACGGUGAAAACAGGCAAAUCGUAAAGACGCCGUAAACCCUUCCCUAGGGGGGACGAGCCGCGCCAUCCUUGGCACGGACGCUUU
rnacentral:ncRNA from 1 species